rnacentral:rRNA from 1 species
GGAGGUUGCAAGCGUUGUUCGGGAUUUACUGGGGCGUAAAGGGAGCGCAGGCGGCCUGGUCAGUCUAAAGUGAAAGCCCCGGGGGGCUCAACCCCGGGAAGUGCUUUGGAUACUGCCAGGCUUGAGUACGCGAGAGGAGUGCGGAAUUUCAGGUGUAGCGGUGAAAUGCGUAGAUAUCUGAAGGAACACCAGUGGUGAAAGCGGCACUCUGGCGCGAUACUGACGCUGAGGCUCGAAAGCGUGGGGAGCGAACGGGAUUAGAUACCCCGGUAGUCCACGCCGUAAACGUUGUGCACUAGGUGUGGGAGGUAUCGACCCCUUCCGUGCCGGAGCUAACGCAUUAAGUGCACCGCCUGGGGAGUACGAUCGCAAAGAUUGA